UGCGGGAUCGUCUAAUGGUAGGACGGCGCCCUCUGGAGGCGUCUAUCUUGGUUCGAGUCCAAGUCCCGCAGCCA
rnacentral:tRNA from 1 species